rnacentral:rRNA from 1 species
UACGUAGGGGGCAAGCGUUGUCCGGAUUUAUUGGGCGUAAAGAGCGUGUAGGCGGCUUCACAGGUCCGCUGUGAAAACUCGAGGCUCAACCUCGAGCUGUCGGUGGAAACCGUGUGGCUAGAGUCCGGAAGAGGAGAGUGGAAUUCCCGGUGUAGCGGUGAAAUGCGCAGAUAUCAGGAGGAACACCAAUUGCGAAGGCAGCUCGCUGGGACGUUACUGACGCUGAGACGCGAAAGCGUGGGGAGCAAACAGG